rnacentral:rRNA from 1 species
UACGGAGGGUGCAAGCGUUAUCCGGAUUCACUGGGUUUAAAGGGUGCGUAGGUGGGCAAGUAAGUCAGUGGUGAAAUCUCCGGGCUUAACCCGGAAACUGCCAUUGAUACUAUUUGUCUUGAAUACUGUGGAGGUCAGCGGAAUAUGUCAUGUAGCGGUGAAAUGCUUAGAUAUGACAUAGAACACCAAUUGCGAAGGCAGCUGGCUACACAAAUAUUGACACUGAGGCACGAAAGCGUGGGGAUCAAA